AGCCAUGCAUUGAGCACAGAGCGAACUAUUCUUUCGCCUUUUACUAAAGAAUACCGUGUGCUCGCUGCAUAAAGUGGCAUACGUUUAUUUUUGGAGGGAGUUCCUAUUAGGAGCUU
rfam:Beta vulgaris subsp. vulgaris Bvchr6.sca027.con0017.1, whole genome shotgun sequence.